rnacentral:rRNA from 1 species
GGACGAACGCUGGCGGCGUGCCUAACACAUGCAAGUCGAGCGGAGACAUAUCACGGAGAUAAAGUUUCGGACGGAGUCAAAGAGAUAUGUUUAGCGGCGGACGGGUGAGUAACGCGUGAGCAAUCUGUCCUGCACAGGGGGAUAACACAGCGAAAGUUGUACUAAUACCGCAUAAGACCACGGCCGGGCAUCCGGUAGAGGUCAAAGGAGCAAUCCGGUGCAGGGUGAGCUCGCGUCCGAUUAGAUAGUUGGUGAGGUAACGGCCCACCAAGUCGACGAUCGGUAGCCGACCUGAGAGGGUGAUCGGCCACAUUGGGACUGAGACACGGCCCAAACUCCUACGGGAGGCAGCAGUGGGGAAUAUUGGGCAAUGGGGGGAACCCUGAACCCCAGCAACGCCGCGUGAGGGAAGAAGGUUUUCGGAUCGUAAACCUCUGUCCUUGGUGAAGAGAGAGAGACGGUAGCCAAGGAGGAAGCCCCGGCUGACUACGUGCCAGCCGCUGC